AGCAGCCGCGGUAAUUCCAGCUCCAAUAGCGUAUAUUAAAGUUGUUGCAGUUAAAAAGCUCGUAGUUGAAUUUCGGGAUCAAUAUGUCGGUCGUGCCUUGGUACGUACUGGUAUCAUUGGUCUCUCCUUUCUGACGAACCAUGAUGUCAUUAAUUUGGUGUUAUGGGAAGUUAGGACUGUUACUUUGAAAAAAUUAGAGUGUUUAAAGCAGGCUUUAGCUUGAAUACAUUAGCAUGGAAUAAUGAAAUAGGACGUUCGAACCUAUUUUGUUGGUUUCUAGGAUCAACGUAAUGAUUAAUAGGGAUAGUUGGGGGCAUUAGUAUUCAAUUGUCAGAGGUGAAAUUCUUGGAUUUAUUGAAGACUAACUACUGCGAAAGCAUUUGCCAAGGAUGUUUUCAUUAAUCAAGAACGAAAGUUAGGGGAUCGAAGACGAUCAGAUACCGUCGUAGUCUUAACCAUAAACUAUGCCGACUAGGGAUCGGAUGAUGUUAAUUUUUAAUGACUCAUUCGGCGCCUUAAC
rnacentral:rRNA from 1 species